rnacentral:ncRNA from 1 species
AAAUUAAAGCGCCGGAGCCGCAGAAGUAAAUGGGCUUUAAAAAGCAUGUUGCGAAAGUCUUUAAUUUCUUGGCGGCUGACGAGGAUGGGGAGUAUCGAAGUUUUCGGCGGAUGCCCCACGGUAAUGCAAAAAGACAUUCUUUUUGCAAAAGCACUACCGAUAAAAGAUUGACAAAUCCGCAGAGUAAUCUGCGGGACAAAGCAAU